rnacentral:rRNA from 1 species
AUUGAACGCUGGCGGCAGGCCUAACACAUGCAAGUCGAACGAGUGGCGGACGUGUGAGUAAUGUCUGUGAAACUGCCCGAUGGAGGGGGAUAACUACUGGAAACGGUAGCUAAUACCGCAUACCAUCGGAUGUGCCCAGGUGGGCUUAGCUUGUAGGUGGGGUAACGGGUCACCGAGGCGACUAUCCCUAGCUGGUCGGAGAGGAUGACGAGCCACACUGGAACUGAGACACGGGCCAGACUCCUACGGUAGGAAGCAGGGGGGAAUAGUGCACAAUGGGCGCAAGCCGGAUGCAGCCAUGCAGCGUGUAUGAAGAAGGCCUUCGGGUUGUAAAGUACUUUCAGCGAGGAGGCGUUACUCGCAGAAGAAGCACCGGCUAACUCCGUGCCAGCAGCCGCGGUAAUAC